ensembl:misc_RNA Metazoa_SRP Metazoan signal recognition particle RNA
GCCAGGUGCAGUAACAUGUGCCUGCAGUCCCAGCUACUUGGGAGGCUGAGGCAGGAGGAUCCCUUGAGCCCAGGAGUUCUGAUCUAUAGUGUGCACGGUGAUUGAAUGUCUGCACUAAGUUUGCUAUCAAUAUGGUGACCUCCCAGGAGUAGGGGACCACCAGAUUGCCUAAGGAGGGAUGAAAUGACCCGGGUUGGAAAUGGAGGAGGUCAAAACUUCUGUGCUGAUCAGUACUGGGAUUGUACCUGUGAACAGCCAAUGCACUCCAGCCUGGGCAACAUAGCAAGACCCCAUCUCUU